rnacentral:lncRNA from 1 species
GUGGCACCAGGGCCCCCAGGGUGGCCCCAGUGUGGCUCCAAUGUCCCAGCAGUGUCCCCAAUGUCCUCAAUGUCCCCAGUGUCCCCAAUGUCCCCGGUGUCCCUCAAUGUCCCCAGUGUCCCCAGUGUCCCCAAUGCCCCCAAUGUCCCCAAUGUCCCCAGCAGUGUCCCCACCGUGUGGCAGUGCCAGCCCCAGCAGGACGGAUCCGUGCUGUCUCUCGGCCUGGAACAGCGCGGGGAAGCAGGAGCGCACGCUCAGGGCUCGGCUGUCCCCGGCAAACACCCCCCGGCACAGACUGUCCACUGCCAGCUCCGCCACCUGCGGGACACACGGACACAGGGACACGGGACAGACACGGGGACACGGGGACACACAGACACGGGACAGACAUGGGGACAUGGGGACACACGGACACGGGACAGACACGGGGACACGGGACACACGGACACGGGACAGACAUGGGGACACGGGACAGACAUGGGGACACAGGGACAGACAUGGGGACACGGGGACACGGGACAGACAUAGGGACCCAGGGACACGGGACACACGGACACGGGACAGACAUGGGGACAUGGGGACAGACACACGGACACGGGACAGACAUGGGGACCCAGGGACACAUGGACACGCAGACAUGGGACACACGGACAGACAUGGGGACAGACACAGGGACACACAGACAGACAUGGGGACACAGGGACAGACACGGGGACAGACACAGGGACACACAGGGGACAUGGGGACAGCAAUGGGGACAGCAGGGACAGCCAUGGGGACAGGGACAGGGACAGUGACAGGGACAAUGGGGACAGUGACAAGAACAGUGACAAUGAGCACAGGGACAGCAAUGGGGACACGGGGACAGGGACAAGGACAGGGACAGUGACAGGGACAGUGACAGUGAGCACAGUGACAGGGACAGUGACAAUGGGGACAGUGACCGGGACAGUGACAGUGACAAUGAGCACAGGGACAGCAAUGGGGACAGUGACAGGGACAGGGACAGUGACAGUGACAAUGAGCACAGGGACAGGGACAGUGACAGGGACAGUGACAAUGGGGACAGUGACAGGGACAGUGACAAUGAGCACAGGGACAGUGACAGGGACAGACAAAGGGACACAGGGACAGUGACAGUGACGAUGGGGACAGUGACAAUGGGGACAGUGACAGGGACAGUGACAGGGACAGUGACAGGGACAGUGACAAUGGGGACAGGGACAGGGACAGUGACAGUGAGCACAGGGACACAGGGACAGCGCGACC